AUAUACUCAGUUUACAAUCUACCUUAAUUAGGUCACUUCGCUCUCUUUAAUCAAAGAGGGGACCUGUGAACGGGCAAUUGGAAUGAGAACAAUUUAAAUCCCCAAACGAGGAUCAAUUGGAGGGCAAGUCUGGUGCCAGCAGCCGCGGUAAUUCCAGCUCCAAUAGCGUAU
rnacentral:ncRNA from 1 species